UACGAAGGGGGCUAGCGUUGUUCGGAAUUACUGGGCGUAAAGCGCACGUAGGCGGAUAUUUAAGUCAGGGGUGAAAUCCCAGAGCUCAACUCUGGAACUGCCUUUGAUACUGGGUAUCUUGAGUAUGGAAGAGGUAAGUGGAAUUGCGAGUGUAGAGGUGAAAUUCGUAGAUAUUCGCAAGAACACCAGUGGCGAAGGCGGCUCACUGGCCCGGUACUGACGCUGAGGUGCGAAAGCGUGGGGAGCAAACAGG
rnacentral:rRNA from 1 species